UACAGAGGUCCCAAGCGUUGUUCGGAUUAAUUGGGCGUAAAGGGUGCGUAGGCGGUGCCGCAAGUCAGAUGUGAAAUCUCGGGGCUUAACCCCGAAACUGCAUUUGAUACUGCGGUGCUCGAGGACUGGAGAGGAGACUGGAAUUCACGGUGUAGCAGUGAAAUGCGUAGAUAUCGUGAGGAAGGCCAGUGGCGAAGGCGAGUCUCUGGACAGUUCCUGACGCUGAGGCACGAAGGCCAGGGGAGCAAACGGG
rnacentral:rRNA from 1 species